rnacentral:rRNA from 1 species
CCUACGGGAGGCAGCAGUGAGGAAUAUUGGUCAAUGGGCGAGAGUCUGAACCAGCCAAGUAGCGUGCAGGAUGACUGCCCUAUGGGUUGUAAACUGCUUUUAUAAAGGAAUAAAACGAGGCACGUGUGCCUUUUUGCAUGUACUUUAUGAAUAAGGAUCGGCUAAUUCCGUGCCAGCAGCCGCGGUAAUACGGAGGAUCCGGGCGUUAUCCGGAUUUAUUGGGUUUAAAGGGAGCGUAGAUGGGUUGUUAAGUCAGUUGUUAAAGUUUGGGGCUCAACCGUAAAAUUGCAAUUGAUACUGGCAGUCUUGAGUACAGUUGAGGGAGGCGGAAUUCGUGGUGUAGCGGUGAAAUGCUUAGAUAUCACGAAGAACCCCGAUUGCGAAGGCAGCUUACUAAACUGUGACUGACAUUGAUGCUCGAAAGUGUGGGUAUCAAACAGGAUUAGAUACCCUUGUAGUC